rnacentral:rRNA from 1 species
AAUGGUGGUCGCCCCCUGAAGCUAAGCAGGGCUGCGCCCAGUCAGUACCUGGAUGGGAGACCACAUAGGAAAGCCAGGGUGCUGCCGGAA